UCCAGGGUAGCCUAGUGGACAUGACACCUGCCCGGUAAGCAGAAGGUUGUGGGUUCGAUUCCCGCCCCUAAAC
rnacentral:tRNA from 1 species